rnacentral:rRNA from 1 species
CGGGGUGAGUAAUGUCUGGGAAACUGCCCGAUGGAGGGGGAUAACUACUGGAAACGGUAGCUAAUACCGCAUAACGUCGCAAGACCAAAGAGGGGGACCUUAGGGCCUCUUGCCAUCGGAUGUGCCCAGAUGGGAUUAGCUAGUAGGUGGGGUAAUGGCUCACCUAGGCGACGAUCCCUAGCUGGUCUGAGAGGAUGACCAGCCACACUGGAACUGAGACACGGUCCAG